rnacentral:rRNA from 1 species
GAGUUUGAUCUUGGCUCAGAUUGAACGCUGGCGGCAUGCCUUACACAUGCAAGUCGAACGGUAACGCGGGGCAACCUGGCGACGAGUGGCGAACGGGUGAGUAAUGCAUCGGAACGUGCCUGGUAGUGGGGGAUAACUGCUCGAAAGAGCAGCUAAUACCGCAUACGACCUGAGGGUGAAAGGGGGGGAUCGCAAGACCUCUCGCUAUCAGAGCGGCCGAUGUCGGAUUAGCUAGUUGGUGGGGUAAAGGCCCACCAAGGCAACGAUCCGUAGCUGGUCUGAGAGGACGACCAGCCACACUGGGACUGAGACACGGCCCAGACUCCUACGGGAGGCAGCAGUGGGGAAUUUUGGACAAUGGACGCAAGUCUGAUCCAGCCAUGCCGCGUGCGGGAAGAAGGCC